AUUGAACGCUGGCGGCAUGCCUUACACAUGCAAGUCGAACGGUAACGGGCCUUCGGGUGCCGACGAGUGGCGAACGGGUGAGUAAUGUAUCGGAACGUACCUCUCAGUGGGGGAUAACGUAGCGAAAGUUACGCUAAUACCGCAUAUUCUGUGAGCAGGAAAGCAGGGGAUCGCAAGACCUUGCGCUGAUUGAGCGGCCGAUAUCAGAUUAGCUAGUUGGUGAGGUAAAGGCUCACCAAGGCGACGAUCUGUAGCGGGUCUGAGAGGAUGAUCCGCCACACUGGAACUGAGACACGGUCCAGACUCCUACGGGAGGCAGCAGUGGGGAAUUUUGGACAAUGGGAGCAACCCUGAUCCAGCCAUGCCGCGUGAGUGAAGAAGGCCUUCGGGUUGUAAAGCUCUUUCGGCCGGGAAGAAAUCGUAUCAGCUAAUACCUGGUGCGGAUGACGGUACCGGCAUAAGAAGCACCGGCUAACUACGUGCCAGCCGCCGCCGUAAGAC
rnacentral:rRNA from 1 species